CGAGCGGUAUCGUAAAGCCUGGUGACCUCGGUCACUCGUAGAGUGUCCUAGCUGUUCCUGAAAUGGAACGGGAAAUACUGAAAUCAGGGCCCAGGGUGAGCCGCUUC
ncrna:unclassified sequences DTF3800-III RNA